UUCGAGUGUGGACGCCUUAGACAUUAGGCUCGUGAAUGUCAAUCUAGUGGAGCAGGCGGAGGAAAAUUCUCUCUGAUUCUAGAAUUGGUAGUGGUGGAAAAGUAGGCUGCCGGGAAAAUUUGAUGGUAACGAAGAAUUAGGGAGAGAUAGGGAUGGUCUUUGCGUAUGAGGAUCAUGAGCUCUUAUAAAUGUUGAAGAGGAAGCAGAGAGCAGCAUGUGAUGCGACGGAGAAUGCAUCCACCUUAUUGUCACUCAAGAACAACAUUGUUACUUAUGCUCAUUUAGUUAAAUGUAAUCUUGCAACACAUGUUCUUGUCUCCAUAUCCACUACGAGAACACCUGAAUGGAUAAUAGAUUUUGCUGCUUCUCGACAUGUGACAGGUAACGCUGGGGAGUUCCCUACCUCUACUCGUCUAGCAGUUCCAGAGAGUAUUCAGACUGCUGUUGGCACGACACAACUAAUGGUUGAUAAGGGUACAGUUAGGGGGAAUUGGCCGGAGACUUGGGAUCGACAUGUGACAUAACGGAGUCUGGUAUUUGGAUAGAAAAGAAAUGGACUCAGCUCUGAAAUCCAUGACUGGGAGUGUUGGAGCAGGAGGAUCUGGGA